rnacentral:rRNA from 1 species
AUUGAACGCUGGCGGCAUGCCUUACACAUGCAAGUCGAACGGCAGCAUAGAGAGCUUGCUCUCUGAUGGCGAGUGGCGAACGGGUGAGUAAAGCAUCGGAACGUACCGUGUAGUGGGGGAUAACGUAGCGAAAGUUACGCUAAUACCGCAUACGCACUGAGGUGGAAAGCAGGGGAUCGCAAGACCUUGCGCUAUACGAGCGGCCGAUGUCAGAUUAGCUAGUUGGUAGGGUAAAGGCCUACCAAGGCGACGAUCUGUAGCGGGUCUGAGAGGAGGAUCCGCAACACUGGGACGGAGACACGGCCCAGACUCCUACGGGAGGCAGCAGUGGGGAAUUUUGGACAAUGGGGGCAACCCUGAUCCAGCCAUGCCGCGUGAGUGAAGAAGGCCGUCGGGUUGUAAAGCUCUUUCGGCCGGGAAGAAAUCGCACAGGCUAAUACUCUGUGUGGAUGACGGUACCGGCAUAAGAAGCACCGGCUAACUACGUGCCAGCAGCCGCGGUAA